rnacentral:rRNA from 1 species
UACGUAGGGUGCGAGCGUUAAUCGGAAUUACUGGGCGUAAAGCGUGCGCAGGCGGUUUGUUAAGACAGAUGUGAAAUCCCCGGGCUUAACCUGGGAACUGCAUUUGUGACUGGCAAGCUAGAGUAUGGCAGAGGGGGGGUAGAAUUCCACGUGUAGCAGUGAAAUGCGUAGAGAUGUGGAGGAAUACCGAUGGCGAAGGCAGCCCCCCUGGGCCAAUACUGACGCUCAUGCACGAAAGCGUGGGGAGCAAACAGG